rnacentral:rRNA from 1 species
CCUACGGGAGGCAGCAGUGGGGAAUAUUGGGCAAUGGGCGCAAGCCUGACCCAGCAACGCCGCGUGAAGGAAGAAGGCUUUCGGGUUGUAAACUUCUUUUCUCAGGGACGAAGCAAGUGACGGUACCUGAGGACUAAGCCACGGCUAACUACGUGCCAGCAGCCGCGGUAACACGUAGGUGGCAAGCGUUAUCCGGAUUUACUGGGUGUAAAGGGCGUGUAGGCGGGAAAGCAAGUCAGGUGUGCCAACCACGGGCUCAACCUGUGGCCUGCAUUUGAAACUGUUUUUCUUGAGUACUGGAGAGGCAGACGGAAUUCCUAGUGUAGCGGUGAAAUGCGUAGAUAUUAGGAGGAACACCAGUGGCGAAGGCGGUCUGCUGGACAGCAACUGACGCUGAGGCGCGAAAGCGUGGGGAGCAAACAGGAUUAGAUACCCCUGUAGUC